rnacentral:rRNA from 1 species
CCCUUAGAUGUUCUGGGCCGCACGCGCGCUACACUGAUGCAUUCAACGAGUCUAAAACCUGGUCUGAUAGGGCUGGGUAAUCUUUUGAAUGUGCAUCGUGAUUGGGAUAGAUGAUUGCAAUUCUUCAUCUUCAACGAGGAAUGCCUAGUAAACGCAAGUCAUCAGCUUGCAUUGAUUACGUCCCUGCCCUUUGUACACACCGCCCGUCGCUCCUACUGAUUGAAUGUUCCGAUGAAUACCAUGGACUGAGAGUAUGAAUGGGUUCGCCUAUUUCUGCUUCUCGGGAAGUGGAGUAAAUCUUAACAUUUAGAGGAAGGAGAAGUCGUAACA